UACGGAGGGGGCUAGCGUUGUUCGGAAUUACUGGGCGUAAAGCGCACGUAGGCGGCUUUGUAAGUUAGAGGUGAAAGCCCGGAGCUCAACUCCGGAAUUGCCUUUAAGACUGCAUCGCUCGAAUCAUGGAGAGGUGAGUGGAAUCCCGAGUGUAGAGGUGAAAUUCGUAGAUAUUCGGAAGAACACCAGUGGCGAAGGCGACUCACUGGACAUGUAUUGACGCUGAGGUGCGAAAGCGUGGGGAGCAAACAGG
rnacentral:rRNA from 1 species